rnacentral:rRNA from 1 species
CCUACGGGAGGCAGCAGUGAGGAAUAUUGGUCAAUGGACGAGAGUCUGAACCAGCCAAGUAGCGUGAAGGAUGACUGCCCUAUGGGUUGUAAACUUCUUUUAUAAAGGAAUAAAACGAGGCACGUGUGCCUUUUUGCAUGUACUUUAUGAAUAAGGAUCGGCUAACUCCGUGCCAGCAGCCGCGGUAAUACGGAGGAUCCGGGCGUUAUCCGGUUUUAUUGGGUUUAAAGGGAGCGUAGAUGGGUUGUUAAGUCAGUUGUGAAAGGUUGCGGCUCAACCGUAAAAUUGCAAUUGAUACUGGCAGUCUUGAGUACAGUUGAGGUAGGCGGAAUUCGUGGUGUAGCGGUGAAAUGCUUAGAGAUCACGAAGAACCCCGAUUGCGAAGGCAGCUUACUAAACUGUGACUGACAUUGAUGCUCGAAAGUGUGGGUAUCAAACAGGAUUAGAUACCCUGGUAGUC